AUGGCUCUGAUUUUUUUUCCUGGUCUUUGCCAGCAAAUUUUCAGGGAUCUCUUAGCAGAAGAGAGGACAUUGUUUGCUGCAUCUUCCACUCCUGUGGAGUUCUUGGACGCUGACUGUUUACAGGGGCUUGCAACUGCCUUUGUUUCCCAUCUGGUAUUAAUUUUUGCUUCUUCUUCUUUACCAGGCUUUGACUCAUCUCCGCCCAAACCUUCAGGUUUCCUGAAGGCUCACGUCCCAAGACAUGGCGCCCCAUCCAGCUCCUUAAGAUGUCCUGCUCUCCCCUCCCCACCAUGCGGCCACAUCUCAGUCACCCCCAUCUUAACUCAUUGUGUCGCCACUGGACCAGUGACAUUUUCAUCUCACAUUAUCUUCAAGGCAACGGAAGAGCUUUGGAAGGUUUUGACUGGACCAUCAUCAUGGUGUGAAUGA
rnacentral:lncRNA from 12 species